rnacentral:rRNA from 1 species
UGAGGAAUAUUGCACAAUGGGCGCAAGCCUGAUGCAGCGACGCCGCGUGUGGGAUGAAGGGGCUACGCCUCGUAAACCACUGUAGCCCGGGACGAAAAACGCCUUAGAGGCGUUAGACGGUACCGGGAAAGUAAGGGUCGGCUAACUACGUGCCAGCAGCCGCGGUAAUACGUAGGACCCAAGCGUUGUCCGGAUUUACUGGGCGUAAAGCGCGUGCAGGCGGAUUGGAGAGUUGGAUGUGAAAGCUCCCGGCUUAACUGGGAGAGGUCGUUCNAUACUUCCAGUCUUGAGUGCAGUAGAGGGAAGUGGAAUUCCGGGUGUAGUGGUGAAAUGCGUAGAUAUCCGGAGGAACACCAGUGGCGAAAGCGGCUUCCUGGACUGUAACUGACGCUCAGACGCGAAAGCUAGGGUAGCAAAC